AUCCACGAUUACUAGCGAUUCCAACUUCAUGCACUCGAGUUGCAGAGUGCAAUCCGAACUGAGACGGCUUUUGGAGAUUUGCUUACCCUCGCGAGUUCGCUUCCCACUGUCACCGCCAUUGUAGCACGUGUGUAGCCCAGCCCGUAAGGGCCAUGAGGACUUGACGUCAUCUUCACCUUCCUCGCGGCUUAUCACCGGCAGUCCCCCUAGAGUGCCCAACUUAAUGAUGGCAACUAAGGGCGAAGGUUGCGCUCGUUGCGGGACUUAACCCAACAUCUCACGACACGAGCUGACGACAGCCAUGCAGCACCUGUGUUCCCGGCUCCGAAGAG
rnacentral:rRNA from 1 species